rnacentral:rRNA from 1 species
CAUGGCUCAGAGUGAACGCUGGCGGCGUAGAUUAGGCAUGCAAGUCGAGCGAUAUUUUAGUUGGAGAGGUUGAAGCCGCAAGGCAGAUGCCAAUUCGGCUAAUCUAUAGCGGCAGAUUGGUGAGUAACACGUGAGUAAUGUACCUCCAAAUCGGGGAUAGCCUUGCGAAAACGAGGAUAAUACCCGAUGUGUUUAUAGUGGCGCAGGCCACUAUAAGUAAAGGUAGCCCGCAAGGGCCGUUGCUUGGAGAUCAGCUCGCGUCCUAUCAGUUAGUUGGUGAGGUAACGGCUCACCAAGACUUUUGACGGGUAGCUGGCCUGAGAGGGUGGUCAGCCACAUGGGGACUGAGACACUGCCCCAACUCCUACGGGAGGCUGCAGUCGAGGAUAUUUAGCAAUGGGGGAAACCCUGACUAUGUGACGCCGCGUGAGGGAUGAAGGUUUUCGGGUCGUAAACCUCUUUCGAUGGGGAAGAAGUCUUUAGCUCU